rnacentral:rRNA from 1 species
AUGCGGGGCGACGCGCCGCCGCCUACCGCGCCAUCGGCCUCCUCCUCCUCCUCCGCCUCCCACUCCCUCUUCGGCGGCGGCGGUGGCGAGCUCUUCGAGUCGGGGCCCUCGCCGCUCGUCUUCCUGCCCCUGCUCCUGAUCCAGGGCGGCGGCAUGGACCUCUCCCGCGUCGGCGAGAGGCUCCUCAGCUCCGUCCGCUCCGCGCGCUCCCUCGGCCUCAUCCCCGCGACCCCAGCCCCUGCCCCUUCCCGCCCCGAGGUUCCAGCUCGAGCUGCUGCUGCGGCGGCCGCUGCACGCGCGAUCGCCGGGCUGCCACCGCACGAGAGGAUCAACCUGCCGUCCAAUUCGGAGGACCUGGUCUCGAUCUACGGGAGCAACCCGCAGGGGCCAGCAGUGGAUGAGCUCGAGGAGGUGUUCUACGAGGAGGAAUUCGACCCCAUAAAGUACAUUCUGGCAAAUAUUUCGGAAGGAGCUGGUGACGCCACCUAUUUUGACAAGCAGUCAACUUCGAGAUUAGCGCAGCUCGACAAGAUUGCAGAACGAUUGUCUCAUCAUGUUAUGGGUCACCAUGAAGAAAUGGUGAAGGGGAUGCAGUUAGUGAUGGAGUUAGAACAAGACUUAAAGGUUGCAAAUGUGAUCUGCAUGAACGGUCGAAGGCACAUAUCCUCUUCCAAGAAUGAGGUGUCAAGGGAUCUGGUUGUCAAUGUAAAAUCGAAGAAAAAACAAGCUUUGUUGGAUGUUCUUCCUGUUCUUACAGAACUUCGACAUGCUCAAGAUAUGCAAAUGGAGCUAGAAACUUUUGUUGAGAAAGAAAAUUACUUUCAGGCAUUUCAAUUAUUACCAGAGUAUCUGCAAAUCUUGGAGAACUAUUCAGGCCUUUCUGCCGUACAAGAAAUGGGACGAGGGAUUGAGGCAUGGUUAGCAAGGACAAUCAGAAAGUUGGACAACCAUUUACUGGGAGUUUGUCAGACCUUCAGUGAAGAAAGCUAUCUAACUGUGAUUGAUGCAUUCGCAUUGAUGGGUGACAUUGUUGGCAUGGCUGAAAAGAUGCAGAGUUUCUUUUUGCAAGAAGUACUCUCUCGAACACAUAUUGUCCUGAAGGAAAUGUUGGAAGAGGAGGUGGGAAAUAAUACGCAGAGAAAUAGAUUUACAUAUAGUGAUCUUUGUGUUCAAGUUCCUGAGUCCAAACUCCGCUCCUGCUUGUUAAAAACUCUUGAGAGCAUAUUUUCGUUGAUGCAGUCAUAUUAUGCUAUUAUGAGCUUUUGCCCAGAAGCAAAGAAUAAAACAUCUCAGAGUCCAAGUGGAACUUCAGCUGAUACAGGAAGAAGCCAUUCAAGUGCAGUAGUCAAUCAGGAUGAUGUUGCUGCCACGAAGAGCGACAGGAUGCCAUCUUCUGUCAGUAAUCCUGAUGCUAGCACAUCAGGAACAGAUGCUCCAUUCUAUCAACUGAGGACAGAUGCUACAAAACAUGUUGCAUAUACAUUUGAAAGGGGGCGGAGAAAUCUUUGGCAACUGGCAACAAGUCGCCUGUCUGUUUUACUGGCUUGUUCAGCUGUUUCUUCAACUAGCAUAUACCAAUUUCUGAAGAACUAUGAAGAUCUCACAAUAUUUAUUUUGGCCGGUGAAGCAUUUUGUGGGUUUGAAGCUAGUGAAUUCCGACAGAAGUUGAAGACAGUCUGUUUGAACUACAUAGUGACCUUUCACCGGCAAAAUAUAUAUGCACUUAAAAUGGUACUGGAAAAGGAAUCUUGGACAAUAAUGUCUGCUGAAGCUAGUCAGAUAAUUAGUUUAGCAGGACUUACUGGUGAUGGCGCUGCACUGAUUUCGCCUACCAGUGGUAGUUCUACCUUGCCAAAAGAUUAUUUCCGUGGAAAUUCUACUGCAACCAAUACAGGAAGGCAAAACAAUGGAUUUGCUUCCUGGCAUAAUAUGGGGAACCCAUUUUCUUUCAAGUUAGAGAAUGGCUCUGCGGAAUCCCCCAAGGGCAAUGUGCUGUUCAACUCAUCAGUUGGCAAUGGAAAUAAUUCACCAUUUGAUGAAGAGAAUGAAGACCUUCUUGCUGAUUUCAUUGAUGAAGAUAGUCAAUUGCCCAGUAGGACAUUGAAAACAAAAAUUGUGAAAGGCAAUACUUCACAUUGGAAAGAUGGAGACAUUUCAUCACAGACAGGAUCAUCACUUUCUUUGUUAAGGAUGAUGGAUAAAUACGCUAGACUUAUGCAAAAGCUGGAAAUGGUCAAUGUUGAGCUUUUUAAGGGCAUGUUCCAACUUUUUGGCAUCUUUUAUCACCACAUAUACGAGACAUUUGGGUACCAGGACAGGAGUCAAAGUGGCAAGCCACUACCUGAUUCUCAAUCAUGGAUUAAACCACAGAACAGUUUGUAUCCAUCUUCAUCACCUUUGUCAAUUGGUUCAACUAUUGCCCAAAUGGAUGUGAUGCCUACUGCGCCCCCAAGCUCGAUGUUCACCUCCUAUGGGCUAAAGGAGAGAUGCGCAGCUGCCGAAACAGUAUCACUGGUUGCUCGAGUUUUGACCAGAUCUAGAGUCCACCUACAUUCUGUGUUGUCUCAAAAUAAUACUUCUGUUGUUGAAGAGUUUUUUGGGACAUUGGUGGACACAGUUCCAGACUUGGCUGAGCACAUUCAUAGAACAAGUGCACGGAUGCUUUUGCAUAUCAAUGGGUAUCCGGAUAAGAUAGCAAAUGCCAAAUGGGAGGUCAAGGAGCUUGGCACAGACCACAAUGGUUACGUUGAUUUAUUAUUGGGCGAAUUCAAACAUUACAAAACAAGAUUGGAUCAUGGAGGAAUUUCUAAGGAGCUCCAACACCUCUUGCUGGACUAUGGCAUAGAGAGCAUUGCAGAAGUGUUAGUUGAAGGGCUGUCUAGAGUGAAAAGGUGCACUGAUGAAGGGCGUGCAUUGAUGUCACUUGACCUUCAGGUAUUGAUCAAUGGACUGCAACACAUAGUAUCGUCAAAUGUUAAGCCGAGGCUACAAAUUGUGGAGACUUUCGUGAAGGCUUAUUAUUUGCCAGAGACGGAGUAUGUCCACUGGGCACGGUCUCAUCCAGAAUACAGCAAGAGCCAGGUUGUUGGGCUGGUUAACCUCGUGGCCACCAUGAAAGGAUGGAAAAGGAAAACGAGGUUAGAAACCAUUGAGAAGAUCGAGGCAGCGUCGUAG